GACGAACGCUGGCGGCGUGCUUAACACAUGCAAGUCGAACGGAAAGGCCCUGCUUUUGUGGGGUGCUCGAGUGGCGAACGGGUGAGUAACACGUGAGUAACCUGCCCUUGACUUUGGGAUAACUUCAGGAAACUGGGGCUAAUACCGGAUAGGGGCUCCUGCUGCAUGGUGGGGGUUGGAAAGUUUCGGCGGUUGGGGAUGGACUCGCGGCUUAUCAGCUUGUUGGUGGGGUAGUGGCUUACCAAGGCUUUGACGGGUAGCCGGCCUGAGAGGGUGACCGGCCACCUUGGGACUGCGAUACGGCCCAGACUCCUACGGUAGGCAGCAGUGGGGAAUAUUGCACAAUGGGCGGAAGCCUGAUGCAGCAACGCCGCGUGCGGGAUGACGGCCUUCGGGUUGUAAACCGCUUUCGCCUGUGACGAAGCGUGAGUGACGGUAAUGGGUAAAGAAGCACCGGCUAACUACGUG
rnacentral:rRNA from 1 species